rnacentral:rRNA from 1 species
CAGCAGCCGCGGUAAUACAUAGGUCCCGAGCGUUGUCCGGAUUUAUUGGGCGUAAAGGGAGCGCAGGCGGUUUAGUAAGUCUGAAGUUAAAGGCAUUGGCUCAACCAAUGUAUGCUUUGGAAACUGUUAGACUUGAGUGCAGAAGGGGAGAGUGGAAUUCCAUGUGUAGCGGUGAAAUGCGUAGAUAUAUGGAGGAACACCGGUGGCGAAAGCGGCUCUCUGGUCUGUCACUGACGCUGAGGCUCGAAAGCGUGGGUAGCGAACAGGAUUAGAUACCCGUGUAGUCCCUGUCUCUUAUACA